UGUAAAUCUUCAAACUUCAAAGCUUUUUAAGUCUUUGUCAAACCAAAUCACAGUUCUAUGAAUUGCUUUGAAUUUCAGAUCAUUUUAAUGUUGCUUCCUUACAUUCAAAAUUUAAUUACAAUUACAGUUCUGCAUCUUGAGUACUACCUUCAUUCAAGUUAAAUUCAAAUUCUGAAAUUGAAUUGGAAUUUCAAAGUUGUUCUAAAUUCAGUGAAUUGAAUGGUGCGCAUUGCUGGUAUGAAGAACCGCUCUCUGUUUUGGUGGACCCACUGAAAUUAAAGCAGUGAAAAAUAAGCAGCCAAAAAAAAAAAAAAAAAUCCAUAUUCUCUUGUAAAACGAACAUACCAAACUUGUAUUUGUAGAGUUCUUCAUCUGUCAAGCUGUUUUACACUGACAGGAAACGUGAGAGCAGGAAACCUCCAAGGCCCUGAUUACAUGAUCUCCUUGUUUGUAGUGAGAAGAAGAGUGUUUUUUCUCCUGGCUUGGAUGCGAUGGCCUCUCCGGAGGCUUUUGGGAGGUGUUAAACGUUCCUUCUGAUGUGCAUCAGCAGGGGAGAUGGCUUUGAUUUCAGAUAACCUCAUUGUUUUCAGAUCAGGCGCUUGCUGGAUCUGGACUUUAAGAUGCGAUCGAUAACAAUUCCAUUAAGAUUCUGUUCGCACCACGCAUGUUUCUCAGCCUCGACUUCAUUAAGACGAAGGCUUUUUCCUUUGAUAUAUUCUCAACAUUGGCACUGGCUGGUGGUCUGUUUGUUUGUUUCCUUUUGUUAUUCAAGAUUUGUGUGAUUCUUCACAACACCCUUUUGUUACUGUGCUGAUGUGAUCUGUGAUGUUUGUGCCACAUUCAUAUCAAAUCAAUCCUGACGGAACAUCUCUGAGAAUGAAAAGUCAAAUAUGCUCCAUGCAUCAGGUGAUCUCAGCAUCUUUCUAACAGAAGGCACAAUAUUCAUCUCUGGCUUUAGCAUCUGCCUUUAUUUAUUGAGUCUCACAUGAAAGUAAUAUGCAUAUCGAUAAAACAUGCAGAAAACAAAAGAUGAAUGCAAAUAUGCAAAGCAAAUCUGCACAAAAUAGGGAUGAGUUUGAGCUGUAAAGUGAAUCAGAUUUAUUAAAUAAUUGUUCAGCUAGAGUUCCAUUAGUUAUUAGUUUUAGUGAUUUUAAUUGUUGAGGAGAGUGUGCUGUUACUUUACUGUGACCAGAUGUACCAUUUUCACCUGCUAGAUGAUAAAACAGAUGAAAAACCCACAGAUGCACAUCGAAUGAGGGACCUGAGCUAUAUCUACAGAGUAGAAACUCUUUUGACCACCCUAGCAACAACAUAACACCCUGGCAACCAUCCACAAAAGUCACAGUUGUGGCACGACGCGAUUUGUGUACAACCAAGUUCCCAGGAGCCUCAUUAGAGACAGAAGCGUUUCGCACCAUCUGAGAGAGUAACUAACGGCACGUUCCUGCCACACGCCGUCUGAGAGCCGAGAUGUUGCCCACAGUAUCGCUUUCCUCAAAUCCCCGCGCAGACGCUUCCGUCAAACACUGUAAAUGUCAGAGACACCAGGGGAUGUUAAAGGUCUGCGUGUGGCGGAGAGUCUCUGAAACUGAAGGUCCAGCAGUGAAGGUCUAUGAUGGGCGUCUAAGACACGCACACAGGAUGAAAAAAA